rnacentral:lncRNA from 1 species
UCACGCUACAUCUAAGUCACAUGUCCAAAAUAACAAAAAACAUAGCCAUUUCAACAUCUUGAAUAUUCAUCAAGCUAACAAAAAGAGCUGUAGCUACCCCUAAACAUUAUUGAGGCUGCUUUUCACUUCACUGAGACAUCAUCCACUUCACUGAGACAUCCUCCAGACCACACUAUAACCACUCUGAAAGAAGCAAACUGUAGCCAAAUUAGUCAAAGGUAUAAAGAUUAGAGUUAGCUCUAGGUUCAUGCAUAUCUAUUGGACAGCUCCCUGGUCAACAUAUAACAGUUAAUGAAACAAAUCUAUCCACAAAAAUAAUACUACUAUAUAGCAUAUCAGGUGUACGACCAUCACAAAUAGCAAAACUGAAAUUUGAACAUGGAAACUCUAGCAUCUCUACAAGCACAGUAUAUGGCAUGGCUGAUGUUAUUUAGGAAUAAACAUACAAAUCUAUGUUAUUCAGGUUUCUAGUUUACUCCUACCUGAUAAAACUAUAUGCAACAUACUCAAAUAAUGAAACUCCUUAUUUGCUGCAAGCAAAUUGCCAGCCAAAACAAUAGUUGUUACUUUAAUGCAAUUAUUAGUUUAUCAACUCAAUAUAGGAUGGAUUAAGGAAAGGGUACGUAUCACUGAACAGACCUUGGCAUUGAACUCAAACCUGAGCAUGACAUCCUGCUCCCAUCCCUUGCUACGCACAUCAAUAGAUAACUACAAGGCAUGGACAAGCUCAAAAUUGCAUCUAGUGAAAUUUAGUGAAAACACUAGAACAUCCUACCUACUAGAAAGCAGUGUAUAAUACAACAAUAUAAGAAACACCACACUGCUUGCCAACAAAAGUCCAAAAGCUCAACACAUAGACAAGAUUAUUCAUGGUUGUGGUACUAGUGUCAUUGUGUGCAGGUUUUGGUGUCACUCUAGUGUGACUUCAGUGGAAGACUAUGUAUGUUUGUUAAUCGGCACUCACAAAACUAUUAUCUAUCUAAAGAAAUUUCAGAAGGGACACUUAC